GCGGAGUCGCCAUGGCGACGGCGGCGGCGGCGGCGGCGCGGCGGGAGGCGAGGCGGGCCGAGCCGCGGCCGGUGGAGAACCAGCCGUACGACGAGAGCCUGGAGCUGCCGGAGGCCGAGGCCGGAGCCCGCUCGCCGCGGGCGGGGGCCGCGGGCCGCCUGCGGGGCUCCCGGCGGCCCGGGGCGCCCGGCGGAGCGGCGGAGCGCGGGAGCGCGGGGAAGGAGGAGGCGGCCGCGCACCUCCCCGGCCCAGCCUCCCUCAGCGAGGAUGACGACGAGGACUCGGAGGACUCGGAGGAAGAUUCCUCGGAGAGCGACUCGGAGGAGGACUCGGAGGAGCACGGGGCCGCGCUGGAGGGUGAUUUCAACCCAGCAGAUUUUGACUACCUGCAAGUGUCUUCUGAAAUCAAAGAUCUCUUUGAAUACAUCAAGAGGUACACUCCCAAAACAAUAGAGAUUGAGCACAAGCUACAGCCUUUUAUUCCAGACUUUAUUCCUGCUGUUGGAGACAUCGAUGCAUUCCUAAAGGUUCCUCGUCCUGAUGGCAAGCCUGACAACCUUGGCCUGCUGGUCCUGGACGAGCCCUCCACCAAGCAGUCAGACCCCACCGUGCUCUCCCUUUGGCUGACAGAGAACUCCAAGCAGCACAACAUCACACAGCAAAUAAAAGUGAAGAGUUUGGAGAAUGCAGAAAAGAACCCUAAAGCCAUUGAGAGCUGGAUUGAAAGUAUUAGUGAGCUGCAUCGCUGCAAGCCUCCUGCCACAGUGCAUUACUCCAGGCCAAUGCCUGACAUCGAGACCCUGAUGCAGGAAUGGUCACCAGAGUUCGAGGAGCUCCUGGGAAAGGUGGGUCUUCCAAGCGCAGAGAUGAGCUGUGACCUCGGGGAAUACAUCGACAUGAUCUGCGCCAUUCUGGACAUCCCCGUGUACAAGAGCCGGAUCCACCCUCUGCAUGUCCUCUUCUCCCUCUUCUUGGAGUUCAAGAACUCGCAGCACUUCAAGCCCCUGGCUGAUGGGCAGAAGGGCAGGAGCCCACCAUCCAACCCACCCUCACAAGCAGCGGAGGCAGAGGUGUUGAGCUUUAAUUGAUGCUUCACAUCUCCUGGAUCACUGUCUGCCACGGGACACUGAGGUGUACCCCCAGCAGAAGCUGCUUGAUGGCUCCAUUUUUGACUUGUUCCCAAGGAAUUCAGCAUUAAAGCAGCCUUUCCCAGUGUCAGGCUCUCUGUGCCACCCAUGCUGCAGAGCAGAGGCUCCUUGAGCACACACUAUAAGGGCUGGAGCAAACAGGAAUAAAUUCCACAUUCAGACACAACACUCAGAUCUGC